AUUGUAAGGACUGAGAUUUUUGACAGUGCAACUAAACUCUCUGUUGAUGAUGUUUAUGUGUGUAAUUUAAUUACAUAAGCACUCGUCAAGUUUCAGGAGAAACUGAGUUAAAAUGGAGAAGAUACGCGAUUUUUAGUUUUCACUUAAGUGAAUAGUAACUCCGGUUUUCCGGAGAAGCCACGGAGUAGAGUUGGCUUCUGGUGCGUAUCGGACUCCGUUCAUAUCAGUCCAAUAGCUCAUUUCGACCGGUUCAGCUGUUCUGGAACUAGUGGCGCUGAUGGAUUUUGAGUUUGACGCACGGAUUUCGAGAAAAUCCAAAAAUACAUGUUUUAUAUGUAUUUAUGCGUGUGUUUCCUUCUAUUGGAAGAAGGUUGGAUUUUGUUGUGAAUCCGUGGUCGAUCGAGAUGAAUCGAAAGUGUAGCUUUGUUGUCUCCGAGGUGCUGAUCGCACUGGUGCAAUCCGUUCGCAAAUCUGACGGACGGAUCUGCGGAGAUCGCGCGUUGAUCGAGGAGAGGUCGGUAAUGGCAGAACGGUAAUUUCGCAAAAGUUGCUACAUUUUAUGUACCGAAUCGCACGAGAUCGUUUAUGGAGGUGCGAAUACGCGAUUGU
rnacentral:lncRNA from 1 species